rnacentral:SRP_RNA from 1 species
GCAAUAGGUAGGGUUGGGGGGAUAGCCGUCCCCCGUGCUGAAACCGGCUAUAUGCAGCACCAGUAACCAAGGGCUAAAAUAUGAUAAAUAAGAACCUGCCCUCUUGCUUGAAUGAAAUCACGCCGCGAUUGGUGGUCACAAGAGAUAGUCAACUCGAAGGAGAUGAUGAUUCUUCAACUACUGAAACCGGACAGGUCCGGGAGGGAGCAUCCGUAUAGUGGGGUGGCUGCGCUUUCACGUCUACGUGAAUGACUUUGUGAGUUGGGAAAAGGGCUUAUUUACAAUAUGAAUCCCUUUGGGGCUGUUGC